rnacentral:rRNA from 1 species
UACGUAGGGUCCAAGCGUUGUUCGGAAUUACUGGGCGUAAAGGGCUCGUAGGCGGCCAACUAAGUCGGACGUGAAAUCCCUCAGCUUAACUGGGGAACUGCGUCCGAUACUGGAUGGCUUGGAUUUGGGAGAGGGAUGCGGAAUUCCAGGUGUAGCGGUGAAAUGCGUAGAUAUCAGGAGGAACACCGGUGGCGAAGGCGGGUCUCUGGGCCGAUACUGACGCUGAGGAGCGAAAGCGUGGGGAGCGAACAGG